rnacentral:rRNA from 1 species
GAUGAACGCUGGCGGCGUGCCUAAUACAUGCAAGUCGAGCGAACAGACGAGGAGCUUGCUCCUCUGACGUUACCGACGGACGGGUGAGUAACACGUAGAUAACCUACCUAUAAGACUUGAAUAACGUCGGGAAACCGGAGCUAAUACCGGAUAAUAUAUUGACCCGCAUGGUUCAAUAGUGAAAGACGGUUUUGCUGUCACUUAUAGAUGGAUCCGCGCCGUAUUGGCUAGUUGGUAAGGUAACGGCUUACCAAGGCAACGAUCCGUAGCCGACCUGAGAGAGUGAUCGGCCACACUGGAGCUUGGACACGGUCAAGACUCCUACGAGAGGCAGCAGUAGCGAAUGUGCCGCAACGGUCGAAAGCCUUACGGAGCAACGCCGCGUCAGUUAUGGAGGUCUUCGGAUAGGAAAACUCGGUUAUUAGGGAAGAACAAAUGUGUAAGUAACUAUGCACGUCUUGACGGUACCUAAUCAGAAAGCCACGGCUAACUACGUG